GGCAUCUCAACACACACACACACACACACAGGAAUCUCAACACACACACAGGCAUCUUAAUACGCACGCACACACACACACACGCACGCAUCAUCUUAACACACACACAGGCAUCUUAACGUGCACACACACACACACAUACACAGGCAUCUUGGCGCACACAUGCAACCAUCUUUGUUCUCUCAAACAGACGCAUAUACAUGCACGUCUUAAUGACCUAAGUCAUCUUAAUGCGCCGAUACACAUACAGAACAAACAGGGAACUUCACAUAAACACACCCUAACCCUUUAACACAAUAAAACACACCCAAUCGCCAUCAUAACAAAACACAUAUGCAUGCACACACACAAACACACAAACACAAAGGCGAAGAAGGGACGUGUAAUAAGAUCAUUUAUUCUUGACAAUAAUUUAUUUAUCGUUUAGUCCUGGGUUUAAAGCAGAUGUUUGAACCAGUAUUUUCCUGUAGUAUGUGAUAGUUGUCUUUUUUACCGAGGAAUCUGGUCGUGAAACAGCCUACACGACUCCUCAAAAAAUAAGCAGACAUAAUAAUGAUCAUUUCAGCCCAAUUUUCACUAUUGCGUUUUGUACAGUCAUCAACUCAUGCCAAUGAGUGAAUGAAAAUGACCCUUGUUAACAACCUGAACCCUGACACACAAACAUGCAUUUGUACAAUCAUAAUAAACACACACUACAUAAAUGUGGUAACUCACAUUUAGACAUGCAGUACACACACUCAGCCCCACAACUCACACCACAAAUUUCCCUCCGAAUGGAUGCCUCCCUUUUUUGAUAUAACCUUUAACCUUUUGACCUCGAAUGCAGCAGACGUACACUGUGGACUUAUUUAUUGUUCAUUCAUUGAUCCUGUUUGUUCUCCUGAUAAUGAAUUGUUAGCUUGUAUUCCCUGCUGUCUUUGCCUUGUUCUUUCGCUGUCAUCAUGGACGUUGGGUCCGUUCUAUACGGCAGUCCUCCUGUGCUCCCUAACCCCUUAGGUUUGAUCCGAUAUUUUAUCUGUAGUUGUAGGACACUGUGGAAAUCUCACAAUACAACCUCCCUCCAUUACAGUUCAUACGAGGUCAUGGAUUCUGAGAACAGAAAUGGUCAAAAUCAAGAAUUCAGAUGAAUAGAAUAGGCAAUAUUUUUAACGUUUUUUUUUGUUUAAUGUAGGGAGUGAAUCCUAGAAGCCAUACUAUCAUGUUUACCUUCAGCAAACUGCAGUUCAAUGAUCCUCACACAUAUACGGUGGCCAAAAUGAUUGUUUUCUUGACUAGAAUCGUAGCUUUAUAAGCACACGUAAAGUUUGCUGACCAUCCGAAACAUUUCCACAUAAACCAACAAACGGCUUAAUGACAUGUCUGACGGGGUCAAAUAUCACAGAUAUAGUUCUCUGGGUGAAGAUUGUUUUUAACGAUAUCUUGGUGCAAAUCCUAUUUGGCACUGGAUUAAACGAAGCAUGAAACGGUUGUGUGUGGAGAGCACACACAACCAGGCUUUGCUACUACGAUUCAAUAAAAAAAAUCACGUUUAGCAUGCUAGUGUAGCGUGCACGAGGUUUGGAACGCGCCCCCCCCCCUUCCACCCCCCCCAGUCCUAGUGCAUCUAGACCUCAGUGAACCGGGAGGUCUUACCUUUACCACGACAAAACUUUCAGCCAAAAGACGUUGACUAUUUUUCUACCAAUUUACCGUUUACGUUAUUUUGUUUCCUACUUGGCUGUUCGAUUUGCUCUUGCUGUUUAGCCAUUCUUAUAAUAAUAAAGGUUGAACAACUCGAAAGGUCUUACAUAUGUCCUACACUACUUGUGUACCCUGUUUACAUAAUGUCUGCUAAUGGAAGAUGAACUGAACGGUUUGGGCCUGUUCGUGUGCCAUAUCCAAAUGAAAUUACUGUUGCUAUUUGCGUCACCUUUUUAUGUUUUGUUUCGCGAGAGGAAGUGGGGAGAAAUGCACUGUUUUAGUGUGUUAAAAUAAAGUUCUUGUUGGAUUGAGAUCAGUUCUUCGUUCAGGAGUAUGAGUACUCCAUGAAACUUCACCAAGUUCGGAAUGAACAACAAAUUAACUGGGACUUGUCGUUGCUACCUAAUUUUAUUUUUUGUGUAUCUUGUGUUUUUUCUGUUUUGUUUUAAUACUUCCUGUUAUGUUAAAGUGCCAUUUUGUUUCCCAACUGAGGCCACUCCAAUAACACAUCUGUCUUUAAAUUACUCACAGUAAGAGUCGAUGAGCCCAAAGCCUCUGUGUGAAAUCUGUACGAUAAACCGGCCUUCAUGCUAACCCCUUUGUACCUUCUGUGUCCACUGUUCCUAAUUUAAUUAUGUGGUGCUUUUACCUUGGUAAUACUUUGUAAAUAUUUCAUUUUUUCAUUAAAGUAGACUUCUGCACCUUCUCUCUAACAACUUGCAGUGGUUGUAUCACAUUUUUUGUCACGUUACUAGACGAGUAAAAGUAAUUUAUGGAUAUUAAAUUGUUAGGCAUCCUCAACAGUGCAACAACAUGACAAAUUAAAUGAUCGGUCUCAAUAAAAAUAUAUAUUGAUUGUUAAGACUAGAUUUAUCAUGUUCUCUGGUAACGGGAAU
ensembl:lncRNA